rnacentral:rRNA from 1 species
AUGGAUAUCUCUGAUGUUAAGCAUCUUAUCCAGCAGGAGGAAGAGGUUACUGACAUGCCUAUUCAGUACAAUGUGGCCACUGAUCCUUAUAAUGCUGACAUUGAAGUGGGGGCUCUUUUUCCUGACAUUGUAACCUUUAGAAAAGCAAUAAGACAUCAUGCUGUGGUAAAAGACUUUGAGCUAGCUAAAGUAAGGACUGAUUCUACUAGAUUCAUGGCUAAUUGCUCAUAUCCUAGUUGCCCUUGGCGCAUUCACGCAUCGAGGUUGCGUGAUCAACAAGUUGUCAUGAUAAAGAAGAUUCCCUUUGAGCACAAUUGCCCUACUACAAAGCUUGUAGACAGCAGAAUGGCAACACAAGGUUGGGUUGCAGAGAAGCUUGUUGAUUGGGUGAAGAAAAACCCAGGAGAGGGAGCAAAGGCAGCGAAAACUAAGUUGGAGGGUGAUUUCAACUUCAAGCUGAAGUAUUCCAAAGCUUGGGCAGGUAUGAAGAUAGCUCUGGAACAAAUGCAUGGUAAAUAUGAGGAUAGUUUUCAAUUGUUGUUCAAUUGGAAAGCAGAGAUAGAGAAGAGAUGCCCUGGUAGUAUUGUUGAGAUUGAUUUGGUCAAGGAAAAAGGUAAGUACUAUUUCAAUAGAGUCUUUGUAGCUUUCAAACCCUGCAUAGAUGGUUUCUUAGCUGGAUGUCGACCAUACAUAGGAGUAGAUGCAACUGCACUGAAUGGGAAAUAUGUUGGUCAAUUAGCAUCAGCGACCGGAGUUGAUGGACACAACUGGUUGUAG